rnacentral:tRNA from 1 species
GUCAGGGUGGCCGAGCGGUCCAGCGCGCUGCGUUCAGGUCGCAGUCCGGUCUUCCGGGCGUGGGUUCGAAUCCCACUUCUGACA